ACAUGUCUCCCUACAAUUCCCAUGGUCUUAUUCUUAUCAGCCUGGUUCAACAAGUUCCACUCUCACCUCCGGAUCAGUAGGUUGUGGGUUUAAACCCCACAUCGGGACUUGAGGUCACAGCUUAGACUGACUAUCCAGUGCAAUAUUAGAAGAUGCUGAAAGGUUCAGCCCAAUGUUUGCUCCAAAACCAAAAUAGAAACUGGACAUAGGCGAUGCAGGUGAUGCCUGUUUCACUUCUGUAUUCUGCGAACAGGAGGAUAUCCAAGCACACAGCAAUCACCCACCAACUUCCUGCAGUGGUCUCCAGAUAGCAACCAAGAACAUGAAUCCUGGCAGGUAUCUCCUCUCCAACUCAGGGUUUAUCCCCAAGUUGUACAUCAGCUCACUCAACUGUUAAUUUUUUUGUUGGGCGUAAUAAUCCCUUAUUUUUUUUUAAAUUGGUCACUCAUUCCAAAACAAUUUGUGCGUGAUUGUUUGCCGAAAAUUGUUCCAAGAAAUGAAAAGGUAAAGUACGAUCUAUUACAAGUAGAUUUUAUUUGAACAAAAUCUGCCAGAGUGGGUUCCUCCGUCAGGGUAAGAUGGUCAGGCUGGCUCAGUU